AUUGAACGCUGGCGGCAUGCUUUACACAUGCAAGUCGAACGGUAACAGGGUGCUUGCACCGCUGACGAGUGGCGAACGGGUGAGUAAUGCGUCGGAACGUGCCGAGUAGUGGGGGAUAACGCAGCGAAAGUUGUGCUAAUACCGCAUACGUACUGAGGUAGAAAGUGGGGGACCUUCGGGCCUCACGCUAUUCGAGCGGCCGACGUCUGAUUAGCUAGUAGGUGAGGUAACGGCUCACCUAGGCGACGAUCAGGAGCGGGUCUGAGAGGAUGAUCCGCCACACUGGGACUGAGACACGGCCCAGACUCCUACGGGAGGCAGCAGUGGGGAAUUUUGGACAAUGGGCGAGAGCCUGAUCCAGCCAUGCCGCGUGUCUGAAGAAGGCCUUCGGGUUGUAAAGGACUUUUGUCAGGGAGGAAAUCCCUAGUGCUAAUAACACUGGGGGAUGACAGUACCUGAAGAAUAAGCACCGGCUAACUACGUGCCAGCAGCCGCGGUAA
rnacentral:rRNA from 1 species